CGAAUGUAUUGUUACAAUAGGGGUAUUAUCGCAGCCUUGCAAAAACCUGGCACGGUGCACGGUUUGCGAAGCUGAUGUCAAUUCCCCUAUAAAAGUACGUCUGCGCUGUCGUAAGAGCAUCAGUUGUGCUCCGUUUUCAAACUCGAAAUCAUCAAGUAAUCAAAACAUGUGGCCCAGGAAUUCCUUCGUGUUCCUUUUUGGAGCUGUGCUAUUAAUCACUAUAGCUGUUACACAUGCCCAGCCUGGUGUGCCGGGUGGUGUUGUUGUUAUACCAACUAAAAGACCUCCUCCAACUGGAACACCUACGCCCCCAACUAGGAGGCCUACACUCCCAACUAGGAGACCUACACCCCGAACCAGGAGACCUUUAAUCUACCAACUAGAAGUGCUACGCGUUCAACUAGAAGACGCACUACGCCGCCAACUAGAACAACUACAACUUCAACUAGCAGGCGAAUUACGCCGCCAACUAAGAGAGCUACUCCAAAGUAUACGAGACAGAACUAGGAACUGAUAAAUGUGCUUUACGCAAUCUCAACUGUUAAUCUAGGCCGCGUAAUAACUGGCCCUUUAAAAGCCAAAACCGUUGCGAAAAGCUAAAACUUGGGGAACCUGCCGCUGAAUGCAAAGUUUAAUAAUAAGUUAGAGACACAAUGAUUGAUAGAAUGUUAAAUAAUUGAUGUUAAAUAUGAAAUUUCCGCCACAAAUGCAUACAUGCAUACAUAAAUAUAUAUGUUUCAUUAAUUCUUAUAAAAAAUUAUUUUUCUUGCAC